GCACGGGUUUGGGUUUAUGGCGGGACCACCCCCUGAGUCUCUCCUAGCGCCCCAUGCCCUAACAAACUGUGGCCUGAACCACUGCCAAGCUUCUGCCCGUAGGCUGCAGGCAAAAAGUGGGUUAGACAGUG